CUAAUACUCCCUCCAUCCCAAAAUACUUGUCAUCAAAAUGGAUAAAAAGAGAUGUAUCUAGAACUAAAAUACGUCUAGAUACACCCUCUUUUAUCCAUUUUGAUGACAAGUAUUUCCAGACUGACGGUAGUUAAUA
rfam:Triticum aestivum genome assembly, contig: Triticum_aestivum_CS42_TGACv1_scaffold_514046_6BS